rnacentral:lncRNA from 1 species
AUGCUCAUUCUGAUUUUUCUUUCCAUUAUCAAUACUCUGUAAUAAUCGAGAAGCGAAAUUUACUAAACAUCAAGUAUGAAGCGAAUCACCCACCCAAAUAACUUCAUAAUGACAUGCUAUGUGCUAACAAAUUAUAAAAAAAGAGUGUUAAGUAUUAAUGAUUUUCCAACAUAUAUAGUACGCAUAAAAUAAUUGACACAGGGAAGUGAAGAAAAUUCAAAAUUUGAACAGUAUGGCCUCGGUGGAGUUUUGUUCACCACAAAUUAGUGUGAACAAAUGAUCUUAAAAAGACUAAAUGCAUGCAUAUAUAAAACCUUGUAGAGUGAGCAAGGGAAACAAUAUUAUGCAGAAGGAAUAAUAAAACAAACCUAGCUUUUUAGGGGUUCGUGUCUAUGGAAACCUAAGGUAGGUCGUCAAUGACCUGUUUGUUGACUGACUCGCAGAUUCGCCAUGUUUUCACCUCCGGAGAGUGUUGUGUUAAUUGGUUCUUGUAGUUUGCAGAUCUAUCAUGUAAGAGUUUCCUCAACACCAUACAUAAAUGAUCAGAUCACCCACAAGAUCGCCAUUAAUUAGAUGAAGUUUGAAGCGAUGCCGGCCAUCUCUCUCACAUCGAUUAUCAUUUAGGGUUUACGUUCAGAAGACCUACCGGUGGCCGGAGGCUCUAAAACUAAAAGGAAAUCAACAAUAUCAACAUUUCUUGGAUUAAAUAUCACAACUUGACAAGCAGUUUUUCAAGUUAUGCUAAACAAAUAACAAGGGUACCAAUACAUUUUCCAGAUAAAUAUAUAAUUGGUAGUUGUUCGAAUGCUAUUUUUAAUAUAAGUAUAUAUAAUAAAACGUCAAUCAUAGCUCUAAAUUAGGGUUAUGCUUAACAAACUAAUC